GGAGUGGUGCUCGAGUGGCUGAAGAGGCACGCCUGGAAAGCGUGUAACCGUCAAAAGCGGUUCGCGAGUUCGAAUCUCGCCCACUCCG
rnacentral:tRNA from 1 species